GAUGAACGCUGGCGGCGUGCUUAACACAUGCAAGUCGAACGAUGAAGCCCAGCUUGCUGGGUGGAUUAGUGGCGAACGGGUGAGUAACACGUGAGUAACCUGCCCUUAACUCUGGGAUAAGCCUGGGAAACUGGGUCUAAUACCGGAUAGGAGCGUCCACCGCAUGGUGGGUGUUGGAAAGAUUUAUCGGUUUUGGAUGGACUCGCGGCCCAUCAGCUUGUUGGUGAGGUAAUGGCUCACCAAGGCGACGACGGGUAGCCGGCCUGAGAGGGUGACCGGCCACACUGGGACUGAGACACGGCCCAGACUCCUACGGGAGGCAGCAGUGGGGAAUAUUGCACAAUGGGCGCAAGCCUGAUGCAGCGACGCCGCGUGAGGGAUGACGGCCUUCGGGUUGUAAACCUCUUUCAGUAGGGAAGAAGCGAAAGUGACGGUACCUGCAGAAGAAGCACCGGCUAACUACGUG
rnacentral:rRNA from 1 species